rnacentral:rRNA from 1 species
AAGUCGUAACAAGGUUUCCGUAGGUGGCAAGUUUGCCUGUCGGAAGCCCCGCAGCGACUCUAAAGAAGUGCACCAGUCGCCCCUGAGCUCGGGGUUGGCAACGCCAUCAUUCUGCGCUGGGAGUCCCCGUAAGGGUCAACCAGCAGCCCCGGAGAGCACUCCGGAGUCCACAGAUCAAACGAUAGCGGCCACUUCGGUGGUUGAGAUAUGAUCGGCCUCGGCGGUCACCAGCUGAAGAAUUCGCGGAACCUGCGGAAGGAUCAUUACCGAGAGAGGGGCUUCGCGCUCCCGGGGGCUCCGGCCCCCAGCUCUUCGCCCAUUGUCUACCUACCUUUGUUGCUUUGGCGGGCCCCGGGGUUCGCCCCGAACUGGCCUUUGGGCUCGUGAGCGCCCGUCAGAGGCCCAUUAAAUUCUGCUUAAUUAGUGAUGUCCGAGUUAAAACAAUAGUAAAAACUUUCAACAACGGAUCUCUUGGUUCCAGUAUCGAUGAAGAACGCAGCGAAAUGCGAUAAGUAAUGUGAAUUGCAGAAUUCAGUGAAUCAUCGAAUCUUUGAACGCACAUUGCGCCCCUCGGUAUUCCGGGGGGCAUGCCUGUUCGAGCGUCAUUACUCCCCUCAAGCGUAGCUUGGUAUUGGGUCCUCGCCCCGGUGGCGUGCCCGAAAAGUAGUGGCGGUCCGGUGUGACUUUAAGCGCAGUAAAUAAUAAUCAUCCCGCUUCGAAAGUUCGCCCCGUGACCUGCCAGACAACCCCAUUCAUUUCAAUAAUUGACCUCGGAUCAGGUA